CACGUAGUUAGCCGGGGCUUCUUAAUCAGGUACCGUCAUCUUCUUCCCUGCUGAUAGAGCUUUACAUACCGAAAUACUUCUUCACUCACGCGGCGUUGCUGCAUCAGGGUUUCCCCCCAUUGUGCAAUAUUCCCCACUGCUGCCUCCCGUAGGAGUUUGGGCCGUGUCUCAGUCCCAAUGUGGCCGGUCACCCUCUCAGGUCGGCUACUGAUCGUCGCUUUGGUGGGCCGUUACCCCGCCAACUGGCUAAUCAGACGCGGGUCCAUCUUAUACCACCGGAGUUUUUCACACUGUACCAUGCAGUACUGUGCGCUUAUGCGGUAUUAGCUAGUCAUUUCUAACUGUUAUCCCCCUGUAUAAGGCAGGUUACCCACGCGUUACUCACCCGUCCGCCGCUCAGUCCAGAUAACAUUACCCGUCGAAAACUUCAUGUUAAAUGCUUCGCUCGACUUGCAUGUGUUAGGCACGCCGCCAGCGUUCAUCC
rnacentral:rRNA from 1 species